rnacentral:rRNA from 1 species
CUAGGGGGGCCGUAUCUCUACGGCUUUCCGGUGUAUGUCAAGCCUUGGUAAGGUUCUUCGCGUUGCGUCGAAUUAAGCCACAUGCUCCGCCGCUUGUGCGGGCCCCCGUCAAUUCCUUUGAGUUUUAGCCUUGCGGCCGUACUCCCCAGGCGGGGCACUUAAUGCGUUAGCUGCGGCACGGACGACGUGGAAUGCCGCCCACACCUAGUGCCCAACGUUUACGGCGUGGACUACCAGGGUAUCUAAUCCUGUUCGCUCCCCACGCUUUCGCUCCUCAGCGUCAGUAUCGGCCCAGAGAUCCGCCUUCGCCACCGGUGUUCCUCCUGAUAUCUGCGCAUUUCACCGCUACACCAGGAAUUCCAAUCUCCCCUGCCGAACUCUAGCCUGCCCGUAUCGAAUGCAGACCCGGGGUUAAGCCCCGGGCUUUCACAUCCGACGCGACAAGCCGCCUACGAGCUCUUUACGCCCAAUAAUUCCGGACAACGCUCGCACCCUACGUAUUACCGCGGCUGCUGGCACGUAGUUAGCCGGUGCUUCUUCUGCAGGUACCGUCACUCGCGCUUCUUCCCUGCUGAAAGAGGUUUACAACCCGAAGGCCGUCAUCCCUCACGCGGCGUCGCUGCAUCAGGCUUGCGCCCAUUGUGCAAUAAUUCCCACUGCUGCCCUCCCG